UCAAAUUAGGCCUCAAACUCCUUGGCUUAAGUGAUCCUCCUGCCUCAGCCUCCUGAGUAGCUAGAGUAGACCUACAAGCACAUGCCACCAUACCCAGGUUGCAUAUGUCACCUGCACUGUGGUCCAGGAGUCUCAAGUCACCAUCCCCACCAUGGUCAGUCGCCUGGUGACCCCAGGCAGAAACUGAUCAUCAGGGGAUCUUGGAGGAGCACAGACUUCCAGCAGUGAGAGCCAAGGAAAUGGAACCAGCCAGAUGGGGAAGGACUGAGUGUAAAUCCCAGGCUUGUCUCCAAGUCCAGGCCUUUUCUGGCAGGGGGUCUGCCAGAUCCUGUGCUGUUCCAGGUAGGAGGCACUGGGCAUCUGGGCACUCAAAACCUACCACUGCCCGCAGCACAGCAGAGUCCCAGGUGGAGCAGAAUCGGCCAUGAGGGUCCUGUUCUCUACGAGUGAAUAUCCUAAGGACCAUAAUAAAGCCAGUUCCCUUUUUGGGGACUGACAUUUGUUGAGAACUCCCCCUAUGAAUGCUGUC
rnacentral:lncRNA from 10 species